rnacentral:rRNA from 1 species
AAGCGGCCAAGCGAAAGCGUUAAGUAUUCCACCUGGGGAGUACGCCGGCAACGGUGAAACUCAAAGGAAUUGACGGGGGCCCGCACAAGCGGAGGAACAUGUGGUUUAAUUCGAUGAUACGCGAGGAACCUUACCCGGGCUUAAAUUGCAGAUGAAUUACGGUGAAAGCCGUAAGCCGCAAGGCAUCUGUGAAGGUGCUGCAUGGUUGUCGUCAGCUCGUGCCGUGAGGUGUCGGCUUAAGUGCCAUAACGAGCGCAACCCUUAUCUUUAGUUACUAACAGGUCAUGCUGAGGACUCUAGCGAGACUGCCGUCGUAAGAUGUGAGGAAGGUGGGGAUGACGUCAAAUCAGCACGGCCCUUACGUCCGGGGCUACACACGUGUUACAAUGGGGGGUACAGAGGGCCGCUACCACGCGAGUGGAUGCCAAUCCCCAAAACCUCUCUCAGUUCGGACUGGAGUCUGCAACCCGACUCCACGAAGCUGGAUUCGCUAGUAAUCGCGCAUCAGCCACGGCGCGGUGAAUACGUUCCCGGGCCUUGUACACACCGCCCGUCAAGCCAUGGGAGCCGGGGGUACCUGAAGUGCGUAACCGCGAGGAGCGCCCUAGGGUAAAACUGGUGACUGGGGCUAAGUCGUAACAAGGUAGCCGUACCGGAAGGUGCGGCUG